CUACGGGUGGCUGCAGUCGAGAAUAGUCUACAAUGGACGAAAGUCUGAUAGUGCGACGCCGCGUGGAUGAAGAAGCAUUUCGGUGUGUAAAGUCCUUUUCUGUGUGAGCAAUGUUUUCCAGGUUAAUAGCUUGGAGAAAGCGAUAUUAACACAGGAAUAAGCUCCGGCUAACUCCGUGCCAGCAGCCGCGGUAACACGGGGGGAGCAAGCGUUGUCCGGAAUUACUAGGCGUAAAGGGUAAGUAGGCGGAAUUGUAAGUCAGAUGUUAAAGGCACCGGCUCAACCGGUGUAUGGCAUUUGAUACUGUAAUUCUAGAGUAAGGUGGGGGAAGACGGAAUUCCUGGUGUAGCGGUGGAAUGCGCAGAUAUCAGGAGGAACACCAGAGGCGCAGGCGGUCUUCUAUACCAUUACUGACGCUCAAUUACGAAGGUGUGGGUAUCAAACAGGAUUAGAUACCCGGGUAGUC
rnacentral:rRNA from 1 species